UGCAGUCAAAAAAGAAACGCAUCGUUUGUUUCACUGAUACUAUGCCACCUCAGUGGCACACUUUCAAGCUAAAUACUGCAGUAUCUACGUGACAAGAGAAUACUUUCCUGCUUUGAAAAUGUAGUGACAGCAUCUUCAUUUCCCAGCCGUGGUUUUGCAGUAUACUGUGUCACUUCAUAGCAUUCCACCUGGCUGUAAAGGAAUGGUGAUGACAAGGGGCUUUCCAAAGAAAAUUCUGUGCUGCUUGUUGUGCCCAUGGAGAAAGACGAAAGUGAACAAGGCUUCGUCGGUGAGAAAAUUAAAGGAGGAUAAAUAGAGAGGUAGAAGAAAUCCAGAGGGCAGAGCUGCAGGCCAGAGGCAGCCCAGCUUCUCACAGUGUGCAGUCUGACAUUCUUGACUUGUGCAUUACAUGUACCAAUGGACAGAAAGAAAGCCUUAAAAAUAAACCAGGAAGAAGGAUCGGUGAUUCUAGCUGUGAGUUGAAUGUCAGCCUUUGUGUUAAACUAAAUGCACAAGGAAUACAUAAUUCAGAAUUCCCCAGUGGUUGUCCUGUUUUCCUGUAGAUGAGAAGAGGAUGCAGCCAGCAGGUCUGAUUCCAGAUGAGAUAAGAUUUUGUUAUAACAAAAGUAAUGGUUAAUGAGCACGUUCUCAUUUAAGUGAGUUAUCCACUACCACACACACACACACAAAAAGGUUCUGGCAGACAGGAAGGAAAGGCAUUACCCAAAAUGGUUUUCAGUGUUCUUAAGGAAAAAUCUUACGGUUCUUAUUUGCUAGUUUCUUGGCUUCUUCAUUAUGCAGUCCUUACUCGCAGCAAAACUCUAAUGUGCUGAAUGAAACACAGUCACAAACAGCAUUUGUCUAAAUAGACAGCACCGUAGUACCCGUUUGUUGAAAUCUGAUAUGAAACUUACUUCUAAAAUAUUCUACUUUGUGAGUAUGAAUAAGUACUAAUUUGACUCGGUAUAAAUAAUCCAUAAGUAUUUAGGAUAGACAUGAUUCAACACCAUAAGGAAAGGAAAACUACCACUUGAC
ensembl:lncRNA